GCGAACAGACGAGGAGCUUGCUCCUCUGACGUUAGCGGCGGACGGGUGAGUAACACGUGGAUAACCUACCUAUAAGACUGGGAUAACUUCGGGAAACCGGAGCUAAUACCGGAUAAUAUAUUGAACCGCAUGGUUCAAUAGUGAAAGACGGUUUUGCUGUCACUUAUAGAUGGAUCCGCGCCGCAUUAGCUAGUUGGUAAGGUAACGGCUUACCAAGGCAACGAUGCGUAGCCGACCUGAGAGGGUGAUCGGCCACACUGGAACUGAGACACGGUCCAGACUCCUACGGGAGGCAGCAGUAGGGAAUCUUCCGCAAUGGGCGAAAGCCUGACGGAGCAACGCCGCGUGAGUGAUGAAGGUCUUCGGAUCGUAAAACUCUGUUAUUAGGGAAGAACAAAUGUGUAAGUAACUAUGCACGUCUUGACGGUACCUAAUCAGAAAGCCACGGCUAACUACGUGCCAGCAGCCGCGGUAAUACGUAGGUGGCAAGCGUUAUCCGGAAUUAUUGGGCGUAAAGCGCGCGUAGGCGGUUUUUUUAAGUCUGAUGUGAAAGCCCACGGCUCAACCGUGGAGGGUCAUUGGAAACUGGAAAACUUGAGUGCAGAAGAGGAAAGUGGAAUUCCAUGUGUAGCGGUGAAAUGCGCAGAGAUAUGGAGGAACACCAGUGGCGAAGGCGACUUUCUGGUCUGUAACUGACGCUGAUGUGCGAAAGCGUGGGGAUCAAACAGGAUUAGAUACCCUGGUAGUCCACGCCGUAAACGAUGAGUGCUAAGUGUUAGGGGGUUUCCGCCCCUUAGUGCUGCAGCUAACGCAUUAAGCACUCCGCCUGGGGAGUACGACCGCAAGGUUGAAACUCAAAGGAAUUGACGGGGACCCGCACAAGCGGUGGAGCAUGUGGUUUAAUUCGAAGCAACGCGAAGAACCUUACCAAAUCUUGACAUCCUCUGACCCCUCUAGAGAUAGAGUUUUCCCCUUCGGGGGACAGAGUGACAGGUGGUGCAUGGUUGUCGUCAGCUCGUGUCGUGAGAUGUUGGGUUAAGUCCCGCAACGAGCGCAACCCUUAAGCUUAGUUGCCAUCAUUAAGUUGGGCACUCUAAGUUGACUGCCGGUGACCAACCGGAGGAAGGUGGGGAUGACCUCAAAUCAUCAUGCCCCUUAUGAUUUGGGCUACACACGUGCUACAAUGGACAAUACCAAGGGCAGCGAAACCGCGAGGGCAAGCAAAUCCCAUAAAAGUGUUCUCAGUUUCGGAUUGUAAUCUGCCACUCGACUAUUUGAAGCUGGAAUCGCUAGUAAUUCUAGAACAACCUGGUACGGUGAAAACGUUCCCCGG
rnacentral:rRNA from 1 species